rnacentral:rRNA from 1 species
ACGGGAGGCAGCAGUGGGGAAUAUUGCACAAUGGGGGAAACCCUGAUGCAGCGAUGCCGCGUGGAGGAAGAAGGUUUUCGGAUUGUAAACUCCUGUCUUAAAGGACGAUAAUGACGGUACUUUAGGAGGAAGCUCCGGCUAACUACGUGCCAGCAGCCGCGGUAAUACGUAGGGAGCGAGCGUUGUCCGGAAUUACUGGGUGUAAAGGGAGCGUAGGCGGGAUUGCAAGUCAGAUGUGAAAUACAGGGGCUUAACCUCUGGGCUGCAUUUGAAACUGUAGUUCUUGAGUGAAGUAGAGGUAAGCGGAAUUCCUGGUGUAGCGGUGAAAUGCGUAGAUAUCAGGAGGAACACCGGUGGCGAAGGCGGCUUACUGGGCUUUUACUGACGCUGAGGCUCGAAAGCGUGGGGAGCAAACAGGAUUAGAUACCCUGGUA